GCUUUCCUUGUGCAGCCCAAGUCAUCGUCAUCCUCCUGUGCAGCAGGGGCACCUGACUGGCUCUCUUUCAUAUCAGACACAAGUAGGAACGUACCCAGUUUACUAAUUUCUCAAGGUAAGAUAGGACCACAGACUUAAUUAACCUUCCUUUUUCCUUGUGUUUGACAAGUACUCUGAUUUUAAAGCAAGGAUUUGGAUAUGUUUCUUUCUGCAUCUUGUCACUUCGGGUUCCUCAGCACAGGCAGGAACUCAGCGCUUUUGGCGCCUGGGAUCUGAUUUUGUUACAGUUUCCUCCUUUGGCCACUUUCCAGAAAAUCACCUAGGAAACCCAAGUAUCAGUUUCCAUGGUCACUUCUAUUGCAUAGCGUAUUGGUACCAGGAAACACACAAGCUUUUUGCCUGAGUGCAUAAGAAUUGAUGAGCAAGAAAGCAUUCACCUGGUGUUUGAUGUGAAAAGCACACACUGGAACACAAAAGCAGCGACAGCAGGUUAAAUGGUUCCUGAUGGCCAGUGGGGGAUCAAAGGCCAAUCAUCUGGAUGGGGAGCCAGCUGACUUCCUCUGAGAGGCAAAAAAAUGUUCCAGAGAGAUAUGUGAAGACCUGAAGUUCCUUCUAUUUACCAUUGUAAACACUGCAACCAAAGCAUCUUCAUGUCAGAUAUUGUAUUCAGUCUGGGAGGAAUAUAGCACAUCCAUAAAGCUUUUAAGUAGAUCGAUCUUUUCCAGAUGAAGGUUAUCACCUUUUCCCUUCCAUCUCAAAGCUACUGUCUUUCUCGAAAGUGCCAUACUCACAAAGUUUGUUACAGAAACAAGGUAACUAACCCAAGAUACUGAUGAACCAAUACAUCAUAAAAUGAUCGAGGACAUACCGUGAUCCUGCAAAGUAUCAGAAAAUCUAUUUCAUUUACAGGUGAGACCAGUCAUAAGUGAAUCUUUUACACCAAAUCACUACAGCUCUUUCUUCCUCAUUUCUACUUUUCUUAACCUUCCAUUCUGAAGCAAAAUUCUUAGAGGAACAGUAGAUCCAAAGUCAAAUACCACAAGAACAUUUUCCAACAGAUUUGGUGUUUCAGUAGUGGGAUGUGAAUGGAGCCAGGCCACUGCCAAAGCACAGAAGGCUAUGAACAGAUUUGAGCUAUUUUUUCCCAUUUUUCUGAUGCAUACAGAAACUAAGUUGUAUAAUUCCUUGGCCACUUCAAAAACAUUCUAAAUCAUAGCACUCAGGCAAUAACAUUCAGAUUGUUUGGGGGUAUGCUCUAUUCAUGCUGGACAGCCCAUUAAACGUGCUAAGUCUUACAGCAGUGCAUUCAUGGAAGUUGACGUUCCUUGAUUAGUCAGUUUCCCAUUACAUGAUACCCUUACAGAGCACCUAAGGUAAUUUUACAAUCUUCUUACUGCCAUCAGGGGCUUUCUUUCUCUUGAAAGCAGAUGAUGGUGCUCAGUAACUACAGCUCAAGUGAAGUGCUCACUUCUGCAUUGAUCACUUUUGUGUGUACCCCACAGAGCUUUGGAUAGAGUUACAGCAUUUUACUGUUAACAGGCAAGGGGAAAAUCAACUUUGCUUACAUUGAAAUACAGGCUCCCUUCAGAACCUUCUGUCUACACCUUCAUAACCUGCAUUUUUUUGCAAUGCCACCAGCAUAGCUCAGUACUAUAUAAAUUAUGAAGUUUAGUUACUGAUACAGUCAACUCUAUGGACAUAAUGGCAUAGCCUUCAUCCUACCAUGUUUGCAGUAAGGGCUGGAUGUGCCUCUGGACUUCCAAGAGUUUGUGUCGCUCAUAGUGAUUUUAUUUUGAGGAGUGAUGCACUCUGAUUGCCCUAUGCAUUAAAUAUCCCAGCAAAGUUUGAUACUGGGCCAGGCUCCUUUAUUUACUUUGCUGGGAGAUUAACUUCUUUCUAAUUAUACAGCCCUAUGCUGCAAACAUCUGUUUCUCUUAACUAGACAAGACUAAUAUUCAUUCUGUUAAAGAAGUAAAUUUCUGCUAAAUUUCUUUCUAAUAAUCCUCUAUUUUCUGGUGGAGGAACUUGGCUUGGCUGUAGUACUGUGCCCUAUUAAACUAUUUGUUACUCUUUGUAAAAAGACAUUAAAAAUAAUUGAACAACUAGAAAUGCAUGCAAUACUGAUUAAGAAGAACUUAGGAGAUGCCAGAAGGUUGGCUGUCUGCACAUUUUUGAUGGGUUUACCUGGUACAGAUACCUUAGUUUCACAUGGAACAGCAUUACAUUACUUUUUUUCCCCAUUGAUUGUAUCCAAUCCACAUUUGGUCAGGAAUCAAGCCUUAGCUAGCUACAAGAGAACUCUAAAUCUCCAUAAAGGAAACCUUAUGAAUAAGUGCUUGUGACAGAGCUUCUUUGGAGGAGUGUUAGAGUUGAACCCAAAAGAACCUUGGGUAAAACCAUUCCUGCACAACAGUCAUGGUACACGCAGGACAGCAGAGCUACAGCAGAGCACUGAGAAGUUUCUUAUCUGAGUAACUCUUUCAUUCUGUUUGGUGAAGGAAGGGAGAGACCCUUGGAGAAAAUGGGAUUUUAUAACAUGACAGUAGGUUGGGCCAUAAUGAGCUGCAAAGGACUUUUCAAUCUUGAGAUCCCUGACCUUACCAUUUAUAAGUCUUUUUUUCAACAGUUACCCUUUUGUGUCUAUUAUACAAACCAGUUUUGAUUAUCCAUACAGCAUUCACAUCAUUUACAAUACAGAAGGAGACUUCUAUAAGGAGUUAGACUUGAUGAUAGUUAUGAGUCCCUUCUAACUCAGAAUGUUCUGUGAUUCUACAAAAGAAUUUCCCUGUUUCUGUGAGUGAUGGAUCUCACUUGCUGGAAUACCACAGAAUACACUGUAACCACUUCUAUUCUCAGCCACUGAAAACUGAUGUCUUGCUCCACUUCCCACUUGGGAACAGUCCUAUCUGGUAAAUGGGGAAGAGCCUCGUAUCAGAUAAAGGUCUCCUCUGGUCAGAAAGGGAACUAACUGACUUGCAGAGCCACGUCCAGCUCCACGCCUGGCAUUCCCAAGCUGGCUGUAAUUUCUGCCUUUCAGUAACAUGAUAUAAUAUUUUGUUCUGGUUUUACAUUUCUUUUUGUUGAAGG